rnacentral:rRNA from 1 species
AUGGCCACCGGCCAUCCUGCGGCCUUCCCUCAUCCCGGACUUCUACAAGGCACCCGGGGCGCCCCUCUCUCCCUUCCCGAAACCCUAGCCCCCAAAUCUCCCCAUCUCCUUCUCCCUCUCAGAUUCGCUCUGGCCCCUCUUCUCGUUCUGGAGGGGAUCGAGGACGCCGUCACCAUGGUCGUCCCGUUCUCGCAGCCACCGUGCUCCCCGCCGGCUAGCUGUGUGCCUGGGCGCCCCGUCUCCUUCGUCUACAUCGACUACGCCCUCGUGGUCAAGCAAGGGAGCCACAACAACGCCGGAUCAAGUCAUCUUCCUCUGCCACGGCCGCCGCACCUCGCCGCUGGACCCGCUUGUCUCCGACUAGCCUCGGCCUCCUCGAGCUCGCCACUGUGCUCACUACCCCUAUCUGUUGAUGCCCCUGUGAUCGACUACAUCGACGACGACCCUUCUUCCCUUUCAGCGGAGCUUCCAGAUGGUGGAUCCCUGGAGCCAGAUGCCACUGCCGACGGAUACUACUACAUGGAGGCCGCCGAAGACCAGGAGUAG